rnacentral:rRNA from 1 species
GUNCUGUUCAUUAAUGAUCCUUCCGCAAAAACAAAACUUUCAGCAACGGAUCUCUUGGCUCUUGCAUCGAUGAAGAACGCAGCGAAAUGCGAUACGUAAUGUGAAUUGCAGAAUUCAGUGAAUCAUCGAAUCUUUGAACGCACCUUGCACUCUUUGGUAUUCCGAAGAGUAUGUCUGUUUGAGUGUCAUGAAAUUCUCAACCCCCCUAUUUUGUAAUGAGAUGGGCGUGGGCUUGGUUUAUGGNUGUUUGCUGGCUUUAAUUAGNCUGCUCGGCCGAAAUACACGAGUAGCCCAAUUUGAAAAGCACGGAUUGACUCGGCGUAAUAACUAUUUCGCUGAGGACGUACAUUUCAAGACAGUGGCGCUUCUAAUGCAAUAAUCCAUUUAAGCUUUAGACCUCAAAUCAGAUAGGACUACCCGCUGAACUUAAGCAUAUCAAUAAGCGGAGGAAAAGAAACUAACAAGGAUUCCCCUAGUAAUGGCGAAUGAAGUGGGAAAAGCUCAACUUUGAAAUCUG